rfam:Mannheimia succiniciproducens MBEL55E, complete genome.
UUAUAAGGAAGAAAAAUAAAGGUUCAGUGAAACCCAAAUUUUUAGAUUUGGGUUUUUUUGUACGUAAAAUUUGGAUAUUUACACUGGGCUUUAAGCCCUUUUUUU